GGAGGAGGAAGAGGAGGAGUCACAGCAGAACCACGCUUUUCCUGCCUGCCUGCUGAGUCUGCAGCUCCCCUGGCCCUGGCAGCAUCGAUCCCCCAGAUCCCACAGGAUUUGUCAGUCCCAAACUUUGUCUGGAUGGAGCUGGAGGAGGCUGCCAGGAAAAGGAAGAUGGCCUGGGACACUGAGGCAGGAUUUCUCCUGGGAAGCUGUGGAAAGGCUGAGAAAGCUCAGAAAGGAAGAAAACAAUUCUUAUCUCACUUGCUGCACCUGUUGUUUGGCACAUGUGGAAUGUGUUAUUGAGAUUGCUUACCGAGAGUGAUUUGUUAAUUGGACUGUGGUGAUGGUUGUUUGGACUGAUUGACCAAUUAGGUCAAAGCUGAGUCAUGAC